rnacentral:rRNA from 1 species
AUACGUAGGGUGCGAGCGUUGUCCGGAAUUACUGGGCGUAAAGAGCUCGUAGGCGGUUUGUCGCGUCGUCUGUGAAAUCCCGCAGCUCAACUGCGGGCUGGCAGGCGAUACGGGCAGACUCGAGUACUGCAGGGGAGACUGGAAUUCCUGGUGUAGCGGUGAAAUGCGCAGAUAUCAGGAGGAACACCGGUGGCGAAGGCGGGUCUCUGGGCAGUAACUGACGCUGAGGAGCGAAAGCGUGGGUAGCGAACAGGAUUAGAUACCCUGGUAGUCCACGCCGUAAACGGUGGGCGCUAGGUGUGGGUUUCCUUCCACGGGAUCCGUGCCGUAGCUAACGCAUUAAGCGCCCCGCCUGGGGAGUACGGCCGCAAGGCUAAA